rnacentral:rRNA from 1 species
GCAUUCGAUACAUGUACUGAAAAUAAUAACAAAGGGUAAUCAGCAGAUUGAACGCUGGCGGAUCUUGCAUGCAAUCGAGCAGCGCUUUGGACUUCAGUCUGGUGGCGAGUGGCGAACAAGUAAUAAUAUAUCAGACGACGCUAAUAAAGAGAUAACUACGACAUAGCUAAUACCACAUACGCCAUCGGGGAAAGCAGGGGACCUUCGAACCUCGCACUAUGCGACGGCCGAUAUCGGAUUAGCUAGUUGGUGAGAUGCUGGCUCACCAGGCGACGAUCCGUAGCUGGUUUGAGAGGCAUGCAACCACACUGGGACUGAGACACGGCUUGAACUCCUACGGAGGGCAGCGUGGGGAAUUUUGGACAAUGGAAACCGAUCAACCAUCCGCGUGUGCGAUCAAGAAGGCCUUCGGGUUGUAAAGCACUUUUGGCAGGAAAAAAGAAGCUUGGCACGGGAUAAUACCCGUACAGCUGACGAUACCUGCGGAAUAAGCACCGGCUAACUACGUGCCAGCAGCCGCGGUAAUACGUAAGGGUGCAAGCGUUAAUCAGUAAGAGAUGCUGAGCAUAAAAGCAUUGCACAGGCUGGUCGGAAGAAGAUGUGAAAUCCAGAGCUUAACUUUGGAACUGCAUUUUUAACUGCCAGACUAAAUUAAUGUCGGAGGAGGUAGAUUCCGUGUAGCAGUGAAGUAAUGAAUAUGCGAACACCGAUGGCGAAGGCAGCCUCUGGGAUAACAACUGACGCUCAUGCAGCGGCGUGAAGGGAGCAAGCAGGUUAGAUACCUGGUGAUCCGCCUAAACGAUGUCAACUAGCUGUUGGGGCCUUCAGACAGCAGUGGCGCAACUAACAUGAAGUUGACCGCCUGGGAGUAAGUCGCAAGAUUAAAACUCAAGGAAUUGACGGGGACCGCACAACGUGGAUGAUGUGGAUUAAUUCGAUGCAACGCGAAAAUGCCUACUGCCACCGGCAUAUCACAAGUCCCGAAAAAGGUAGAGUAUAAAGAGAGCAAGAACACGGAAGUACUGCGUAAUGUCGUCGCUCGUAAUGUGAGAUGUUAAAUUAGAAUCCCCGCAACGAGCAACCCCUCGUGGCAUUACUACGAAAAGGCACUCUCGUAGGGCUGCCCGGCUCGACAAACCGGAGAAAGUGGGGAUGACAUCCAGAAUCCUCUUGGCCCUUAUGGUAAAGACUUCACGUCAUACCAAUAGUCGAGACAGAGAAGUCGCCGGCUUGCGAGGCAAUCGAAACGUCGUAGUCCAGAUCGCGAUCUGCUCGACUGCGUAAAUCGAUCGCCUAGUAAUCUUGGUCAGCAUGUCACGUGAAUACAUUCGAGUCUUAUGCCUGCCCGUCACCAUGGAAGUGAUUUUACCAUCGUUAGCCUAACCCGUAAAGAGCAGUACCACAUUGGGAUUCAUGAUAGGAUGAAAUGUGCUGAAUAA